GGGCCCGUAGCUCAGCUGGCAGAGCAGUGGACUUUUAAUCCAUCGGUCCCGGGUUCGAACCCCGGCGGGCCCAC
rnacentral:tRNA from 1 species